CUGGCCCCCGCAGCCGUGUCCACCGCGUCGACACUGGAGCGGACCUUGUCGGAACUACAGACCUGUCUCCCACUCUGGCGGCUGCGGACCGGACAGACAGCCAGGGAGAGGCAAGUAUUCCCCAAAAGGCUUCCUCCCUCCUCAUCCUCCUCCCCGCGCCCUUGCUCUGCAGCUUGAGCGGCAGGGUAGGAGGGGACUUUUUUCCAGAAAGAAGUGGACAGCAAGCAAUCAAUUUUCCUCUCCGGCCAUGGUGACCAAGUCCCUGCCCGGGCCCUUUCCAGGUUCAACAGACCUGUUGCACCCAGAGAAGAGCCCCAAACCGAUCGGCGCGCCAAGAGCCCCGAGACUCUGCUUGCCAAUAUCCCGAGAGCCCAGCACCGACGGGGAAAUGUGGGAAGCUCCCAGACGCAAUUGAGUAAUCAUCUCAGUGUUCAGGGCCCCUCUUCCUACCCACUGAGAUAGCGGCAAAUAACUCACUAACCCGGGAGGGCAAUGGAGAGGCGGAAGCCCUGUCUACUGAAAACGAACAUCUAGCGCAGGUGCGUGCUAGUCUCGCCUUUCCAUCCGCCGGGUCCUUGCCUAGCGGUCAGAAUCCCGCGGUCAGGUCUCUGGAGCCCCUCCCCGGCAAAUCCGAGCUUCUAGCUUCAGCACCAGAAGCUGGACAGCGCCCUGCCCGCUGAGCGCGGGACGAUCCCUGGGACGCCGCGCAGAGGAGUGCCUGAGGUGAGACGGGUUUGCAGAAGGAGGGACCCACCUUCUCCAGGGGUCUGGGUGUCGGUUUCUUGGCGGGCGUUCUGUCUCCUCUUAGUACGUCCAGCGGGAAAACUUAGUGCUCAGUGCCGGCCGGCGCCCGGACAAGACGCGCACGCUCAGCGGGGCUCGUAGGGGCCAGGAACGCGCAGCGUCUAUUGUGUCCCUGGCCUUGGAGAUCUUUGGAAAAUCGCCACAGCCUCUCUCUCGCCCGCCCCUUCCCGCUCCACAAUCUCCGUAGCCCUACUAAAAGUGAAUGAAGGAAAAAGCGUUGGGGUGGAGAGAGAAGAUAGUGAAGCCGAGGGGAGAAGCACAUUUUUUCUAGGUCCUCACCCUUAGGGGUAAGAAAAAAAAUCUGUCCAAUGAACAUCAAGUUACACGUUUUUUUAUCCAGACACCCAAAGUGCCCUUUGUACGAGCAGCGGAGGAGAUUGUUUUGCCAGGAAGGGGGGCAAAAAGCCCCGAAGGGGGAGAAUCUACCACAAAAGGGCUAACAGAGGAGGGGAAGAGGAGAGGAGCGGACAAAACUCAGCAAUGCGUGGUUGCUGGGCAACCAGCCGCAGCCCCAGCCUCCUGUUGCCUUGGUUACAGUGAAUGGAGGGGCUUUGGCUACUGAUUACCCAUGAGCACCAUGACUCUUUAAAAUGUGCCUUGGGAGCCCUUGCCUUCCCCAGGCUGGGUGGAAAUCACCACCCUCCCAAGGAAUCCUCCCCCACUACCUGGGGAAAUCCUGGAAGAGGAAUUUUUCCUUUUAAAUCAAGGCACGGGGCAAUUUCCCCUCAAUCCUUCCCACCCCCCACCCCCCAACACUUGCUUUAGAAGUAAUAGUAACCUACCCUGCCAUUUCUUCAAGAUUUACAGUUUUUGCCCCCCUCAACGCGCACACACUUAUUCCUUUAUACUGGAGGCGCUGAUCUCUCCCCAUUUUCUCUCUUCCCUUUCCCCCUCUUUUAAAUGAGAAAAAUAUGUUUGCUCCUCGUGGGAGAACGAGAGGGAGGCAGGACUCUCAUCCAAGGGUAUCUAUCUACUCUGAAGAGAGUCUUAGCAAUCACAGGCCCCAAGGACCCCUCGCAGGGGGAGGAGGUGAAUUCUGGGUUGAAUCACCCCACAGACCUCAAGGAAGGGAGAAACACAUCUCCCUCAAGAAGUGGCCGCUGGCUCAAGAUUCUCUUCUCUCUCCUUCCUCCCAGCAUCCCCUUCACAACCAGCAAGCACAGUGCAGCCAGCUUCUGGUCCUCUGUUUUCUCUUUGCCCUGAUUGACAAAUAUUGACUCCACUUUCCACCCGUCAGCCCUGCUCCCGUGCGUUCAUUCGUAUCGUCUGGCUAGAGAAGCACUUUACCCGCAGUUUUUUAAAGGCAAGUGAACCGUUCUCAGAGUGAUUUAAGGGGAAACCACCAGCGAGUUACUAGAACAACCUAUGUCCUGUAGAUUAGUUUAUCCAGAAUACUUCUCAUUAAGAGCCAAGAAUUUUCUAUUUCCAAAGAAAACCCUUUUUUUAAAACUGAGGUAUCACUUGGGAGCACAGGGAGAAAAUGUCUGUAUUUUAGGCAGUAACCAUCAUAUCUCACCUGCAGUGCCUGCACCAACAAACACAAACAUCUUUCCUUAUAUUAUUUUUCCUUCCUUUGUUGAUAAAAUAUUUUUUUUAAAUCACUAUAAUUUCAAUGUAUGCUUAUGGCCAAAAAUGACCUUGGUGGACCAGCUAGAUAUAGUUGGUGAGCAUUUAUGCUAAAAUGCCUCUCAAGUGUUUCUAUAGAAAUUUCUGACAGACCAGACCAGACAGCUGUUCUGGUUUUUGUACUUUUUUCCUCAAAGAAAUGCUUUAUUUUAUUAAUUCUCCUGAGCAGUGAUCACUGAUCACAUCAAUAAUGUCCUAUAGCAAUAGUAGUUAUUUUGUUACAAAAAAAUUAUCUUUCUGCUCAUUUCUUUAUGGACAAAGGAUUUACUUUCCUUUUGAGAAUAUAAGCAAGAUCUUACUGGCCAGGAAAGAACCAUUCUCUCAUUGGUUGGUGUAUAAUGCCUUGUAACCCAGUAAGAGGAUGCCAUUUAUCCUUUUUUGACUAGCUGAGUGAGCCGGGUAGCCAGGAUGAUUAAAUCUCCCUCAGUGCUACCCAGUAGCAAAAGGUAGAACUCAGAGUUCUGGGGCCCAGGAUCUGAGACUUACUUUGGCUAAUCCAGAAUGCAUUUGACUGGCAAGGAUGAACUUUUCUACCUUGCUACUUGUAGUUUACUUGAACAAAUUUGCAUAAUACAUUGUUCUAUGGAUUUUUUUUCAUUUUAUGUUAUGUCAUGAUCACCCCAAGUCAGUGUAGGCUAUUGGUAUCAGCACAUUGAGGACCCAGGGUUUUUUUAUGAUUUCCCCUAGAAGUACAGAAUUGGUUCUCACCAUUAGGGAUAUGGUGAAAACUUUACAGGGUAAGGAUGGAAAGCUAGAAGAGAUGAAUAGUUAUUGCUGAUUUUGGAUUCACUCUGUUAGCUUUGCUAUCCUAUGAUUAUUUGAUUUGUUUGUUUUCCAACUUCAUUCUUCCUAGCUUUCCUUCUGGCCUGAAUUUUCAGUGAGAAGUAGAAAAGCUGAAUGGAUGGAGAUGGUGACCCUCUAAGUCAGAGUGAGGGCAGACCUAUUGCUACCAAAGAAGGCUUGUGGCAGGUUGAUGAUGCGGCCCCUGGAGUUGAAAGUUAUCUCAGCCCCUCAUGGCGUUGGUGUUGGGCAGGUCCGGGAUUUUUUUUCCUCUCUGCCUGCAAUCAAUAGUACAAUUUAGGAAUGGUGGCAUUGGUUUCCACAUUUCUAAGAGAGGAGUCAAAGAUUCUCCCUUGUUCUAGGACAAACUCUCCUAUAAGCCUGGCAGCCUGCAGGAUGCCUUCACGUGAGUACAGACUCCCUUGGUCAAUCUUUUCUUGGUGUUUGCUGGAGGGGAUGCAGGGGAUGGACAUAUACCUGACUACGAUGUUGCUACCAGGAACACUUCCUUCAUGGAUCACGUCCAGUGUCAGUGGGACCAUCCGCUUCAGUGCUAGAUGAUAAAACCUUCAAUAUUAGGGACUACAUCUUGUCACUUUUGAUUCCCUAAAGCUUAGUCAUGUUUAAAGUAGAGGCUGAACACAGGUCUGAACUAAAUGCUACCAGCUAGCAUUACAAGUCCCUUAACCUCUCCUUCAUGAGAACGGCAGCUCUAGCCCUGGACCCAUCCCUACCUUGGCCUCCCCUCUAAAUCAAAAGCUUCAUAUUCCCUAGCUCUCCUCACAAAAGAUAAACGAAGGCUCAAUUAAGCGUUACCAUGGUUACGUGGAGUAGCCACACUGAGGAUCCCUACACCCAUUACUGUCAUGAAGUAAGAGAAGAGGGGUUAAGGAAUCGUUGUCAUGGAGGAAACCAUGGAAACAAGCGUUGCUAAGGGGACAGCUGUAAAUUCAGAGGAAAGAAAUUAGAAGUGGGGAGUGGACUUUGUGGGCUCGAGAGCAGGUCACUUUUUCAAGGUACGUUUCUCUGGGACUAUAGCAGCCUUUAUUUUUUCUAUUUGUAUCUUCCCAGGCAGAGCCCAGAAUUAAAGAAUUUUAGAAAUUUUAGAAAACCACGGUCAUCAUCAGCUCAAGUCCAUCACUGUUGGAUUGGUCCCCAAACAGAGGCAGGGUUCAGAAAGGAGGGUUAUGUGGUGUGAACGGGUCAAUCCACUUUCACUGCCUCUUCGCCCAGCUCUGCGUGUAAUCUAAGCCAGGAGGUGUGUGGGGCACUGGGAGGAAAUAAUGAGCACAGCGUAGAGCAGGAUAGUGACUUGGUUGGUGGCUUUAGAGCCGCUGCUGCUCACGUGGACAGGCCCGCAGCAUGGUGUCCAGAGAGCUGCUGCAAUUCUCUCCAAACUCUGCCUGUGACGUCUGUAGCUUGUCAUUCCCAUCUGACAUUCAUCUGCAAGGUACCCUAGAAAGGCCUGCUUGCUCUAGGACAACUGGGGUCCUAACCUGUCCUGUGAAACCCUCACGCCUGACUUAGUGAGCUGUGUUCUCUGGUCUUUCUCCCUGAAGCAACAGCUAGGGCUGGCAGUGCCCUAGCCCACUCUCACCAGUGACAGACACAAGGGGCUAUGUUUUGUUUUAAAAGAAAUCAAGGAUAAUGAACUCCUCCGUGUUGCUUGAUAGGCCAAAGGGAGGGGGGGACCUCAGGUCAUUGCAGCUUGGAGCUCAUAGCCAGCCCCCACCCUAUGAGGUGCAGAUCAGAGAGUCUCAGCCUCCAGGGGAGGGAGGAACCCUCACCCUUGCAUCCUGCACAGGGCAACUUGAGCUUCCUCAGGCCCACACAGGACCGUCCCCUGGCUCUGGCUGACUGCUGGACAUUGCCAACCUUCUGCACAUCGUCCCCCAUGGCCCCUGAGUCUCUCUGUCACUCUGCAUGGGGAGAAUGGAGGGUCAGCUAAAGAGGAAGAGCUCAGAAUUAAAAAGCAAAAGAAUUAAAAGUACCUAUAGGGAAGGGUAAUUAUCCUUCAGCUGCUGCUGAAAUACAAUUAGGGCCAUGCUCUCAAGCUGCCAGGAUAUUGCGGCUUUUGCUAAUUAAGGAGCGGAUGUGCCCUGCCAGUGCAAUUAGAGGCUGGCCCAGGCAGCGGGGCCCUCGCCUCACCUCCUCUCAGUGCUGCCUGUAAGGGAUAUUAACCAGGGAGCCCAGCCUUGUGCCUGCCUGCUGGGAGGGGACACCUAAGCGAGGGUUCCCCCCUCUUCCUGUCCUUUCUGUUCUGCUGGUCCGACCCCACCAGCGGGCUUCGUUCUGAACUGUGGUGCACUGGCUCUGAGGACUUUCACUGUGGGCCUGGGCAGGGAGGAUCACCACUACCUACAGCUUUUUUUUUUUUUUUUUUGCAGAACUGAGGAUCAAAUGUGUGACCCUUGUACUCAGCUGCAUCCCUAGCCCUCUUUUUAUUUUGAAACAAGGUCUUGCUAAGUCACUAAGUUGCCCAGGCUUAGCCUUCGAGAGUGACGACAUUACAGAUCUACAUCUCCCUUUACUUCUAACCAUAGCAAAGCCAGUGGGCAGCCAGUUCUAUUAGAAAUCUCAUUCACACUUGAGAAGUCUGCAAAUUGGCAUCGCUCAGCAGGUGUCUGCUCCUCACGGCCGGAUGUCAGGAUGAGCAGAGCAGGGGGACAGCGGACUCAAGAGUCAGUCUCUCCUGGCAGCAUCUGGGGCUGGAGCCAGGUUCCACCCCAAAGGGUUCUAUUACAGAGAAGCCCUGGCCUUUGAAAGAGGAGCUAUUUUCACUCUAAGAGCUGGUAAGUAGCUGGGCAUGGUGGCACAUAUCAUAAUCGCCGCAAUCUGAAGGCUGAGGUAGGAAAAUCAAAAGUUCUAUUCCACUCUGGGUAACUUAGUGAGUUAGAGAGACUUUGUCUCAAAAUUUAAAGUUUUAAAAAUGGGUUGGGGGGCCAAGAAUUUAGCUCAGUGGUGCCACCACCCGCCUCGCAAGCGCAAGGUCCCAAAUUCAAUCCCAGUACCAAAAAAAUAAAAAGUAAAAAAAUAGAAAUGGGUUGGGGACAUUGCUCAGAACAAAGGCUCUGCAUGCAUUCCCCAAUACCGCAGAAAUAAAGAGUUGGUAGGUAGGCUGAGUAGCUUCCUAAAGAAGCAGGAUUAGGGGUACUGCUGUCCCCAGUGACAUGCAGUAUGGAGGCCAUCAUCACUGGGGUCUCAAACUGUUUUGCUUAAUAAUGUUCUUACCAAGAAUCUAAGUAGUGGGGCAGGGAUUUAGCUCAAUGGUGCCUUGCCUGCCUCACAAGCACAAGGUCCCCAAUUCGAUCCCCCAUACUAAAAAAAAAAGAAUCUAAGUAGUUACAAAGGUUGUAUUGAUAUCUUUAUAAAAUAUGCCAAAUAACUGCAAUGAAAUCUGAAUAGCAGAGUGAUUUGAUAUUAAUCAUAUCUUUUUUUUUUUUUUUGGUACCGGGAUCAAACUUGGGACCUUGCGCUUGUGAGGCAGGCAGUGGAACCACUGAGCUAAAUCCACGGCCCCAGUCAUAUCCAUUUUUAAGAAACAACUUACUACCAAGAAGCACCCUCCCCCACCCAGCUGAGAUAAAACUCCUGGAUUCCCCUCUGGGACUCCCCGUGUGACAUCUAGUCAAAGCCAGACACAGCCACUUCCCGUUUCCAUCUUUGCUCCAUGGGACCCACUAAACUGCUUGGCCCACUGAUCAAGCAGAAGAAAAUGCUCGCUCUCAUCUACUACCCAUCUCUUCUGUUCCUUCCACUUCCCACACCCACUUUUUACCAGACUCAUCCCCUAAAAAAGCAGAUGUGUGCCCCGGCAGGGGUACACAUCUGUAAUACUAGCAUUCUGAGAGGAGGAGGCUGGAGUACCACACAAGUUUGAGGUCAGCCUGAGGUGGAAUAAAAGAAAUAAAAGAGAAAGAGGAAAUCAUAACUAAACAUUGUACUUUUAAGAAGAUUCCAGCUUCUAGGACCCAGCCCAUAUUACCGAGGGUGAUCCAUAUCAGUAUUUCCUUGGUUAAAUUUAGGCUCUGGUCCUGGCAGAUCUAGCACACCCCAAAUUCCUCAGGAAUACUGAAAGUCUAUAAAUUGGAUUAAUUGAGAAAAUAAAGAGCAGAAACUUGACCCCAAAAUAAAGGAGCCGGUGGAGAAAAUUCAAAAGUGUUUAAAUUUUCUAUUAAAAAAAAACACCUGCACAUGCCUAUAGAAUGGGCUAGUACUUUUGGGGGGCACCGUUUCCCAGGGUUUCCAUCCCUGCAAGAGAAGCAUAAAUGUUCCCUGUUCCAGGAAAUAACACACCUCAUUUCUCUGAGCACCUGCACUUCAUUCUUUCUUUCUUUGUGUGUGUGUGUGUGUGUGUGUGUGUGUGUGUGUGUGCCGGGGAUCAAACUUAGGACCUCGUGCUUGCCAGGCUCCCAUUUGCCAGGCAGGCACUGUGCCACUGAGCUAAAUCCCUGGUCCUGCACUCCAUUUUUGUGUGUCCUAAAAUCUCUGCCUAAUAAACUCUUAACUUGCCUCUUACAGAAGAGUCUUGAAAAUUCUUUUUUCACAAUGCGAGUCAUCGAACCUGCACUUCUUCUACAAAAGAUUGGGUCAAGUUCCUUAUUUCAGUUUCAGGCUCUCAGACCCAGCCCAGUGACAAGCCUGGACAACUUAGUGACUUAGUGAGACCCUGCUGGGCAUUUAAUGGGUUCAACCCCAUUUUCUCUCCCCUCAAAUCAGCUCUUUGUGUAACCCUUGAGAUAUUGUAGAUUUUAUGGAUUGUUCUUCCUAUUGUGUACUCUUAGCAUCCUGCAUCACACCCUCAAAAUAACCCUUUUAAAUAAAGUCUCCCUUUACUCAAUCCGGACUAUUUUUUUACAUUCUAUGCAGCAUUCUUUACAUUUGGCUCCUGCUACAGCGUUUUAUGCAAGCUUAUUGUAUAGAACACCCUUGUGCUUUCCUGUCCCAAGAAUAUGUUGAUAAAUUUGAACUCGCUAAUUCUGAAAAUUUUUCUGUGAUCAUAAAGCUGUAAGUGUUCAUUUGUUAUGCAAUAUCAGUACCUCACUUAAAAUAAAUACACAGAAUUUUCAUUAAAAUAAAUACACAGCAUUCAUAAGAAUCUUUCAGAUUUCCGCAACAACCUCAAAUUCUUUGUCACAGGAAUGCCUCCGAAACGCUGCCACUUAUAAAAGAAAUGUACGUCUAUCUACAUGAAGAAGCAGCGGAAGCAGACAGAAGCGUUUGUAUUUUAAAUCCCCCCUUUCGGCUCAGGGGAAAUCUUUCUACAGGAAGAUCCUUGCAGGAUCUAAAACCUGCAAGGACUCAUUUACACAGGUGGCUGUGGCCCGAAAGACUUCAUCUGCAUAAUAAGGCAAUCCUGGCUUGUGGUGCCGCAGCCAGUCCCCUUAGAGCUCCGAGUAGAGCUCAGACAUUUUACCCCUCUUGGGGUUGGAUUCCUGUCCCUUAGACAGGUGAUACAACGUGUAUGUUCUUGUUCCUCUUAUUUAUUGCAUAGAACGGAUCAAAUAAAAUUAUUGAGCCUUCAGAGGGAAAACAGCAAAUCCAAGCUUCCCUACAUGAGUAAAAGAAUUUUUUAAAAUAAAGCAGAAACUGCUGUUUUCUUGUACUGGGAAUUGAACCCAGGGCCUUCGCCCUGAGCGACAUCCCCAGUCCCCCCCACCCCAAAAGGCUUUAAAAAAAGCCAAGUUC
ensembl:lncRNA